rnacentral:rRNA from 1 species
UGGGCACUCUAAGGAGACUGCCGGUGACAAACCGGAGGAAGGUGGGGAUGACGUCAAGUCAUCAUGGCCCUUACGGCCUGGGCUACACACGUGCUACAAUGGUCGGUACAAAGGGUUGCCAGCGCGAGGUGGAGCUAAUCCCAUAAAACCGAUCGUAGUCCGGAUCGCAGUCUGCAACUCGACUGCGUGAAGUCGGAAUCGCUAGUAAUCGUGAAUCAGAAUGUCACGGUGAAUACGUUCCCGGGCCUU